UGGCGGACGGGUGAGUAAUGUCUGGGGAACUGCCUGAUGGGGGGGGAUAACUACUGGAAACGGUAGCUAAUACCGCAUAACGUCGCAAGACCAAAGAGGGGGACCUUCGGGCCUCUUGCCAUCGGAUGUGCCCAGAUGGGAUUAGCUAGUAGGUGGGGUAAAGGCUCACCUAGGCGACGAUCCCUAGCUGGUCUGAGAGGAUGACCAGCCACACUGGAACUGAGACACGGUCCAG
rnacentral:rRNA from 1 species